GGCAAUAACAACCACAAUGAUAAUAAUUAUAUUUAUCUAGUUUUAACUGGAACACGGGUGGUGUGUAUGGUAGUAGGACCUGUCUUGUCGUUAGUUUGUGUUUUCUGAGCUGUUUUUGUGAUGUAAAUUUUGAGUCCUACUCCUGUUUUAAUCCUAGAGGAAACGCAAUCCUUCAUCAGGUCAUUUUACAGCACCUUCAUUCUUCCUGCAAUCAAUUCCUCUCUCCGUUUUCCUUCAAUAGAUACCAUCCUCAUGUCAAAAAUUCCUGCAUUCACCCUUUAACAUCAUUUGACAUGCACAUUCACUUAUCUUUCUAUCAACUUGUUACAAAUCCUGAUCCAGUUAAUUCCAACACGAUAUAUGCGGCUUCCAAUCCUUAGCUAUCCUGCAGGGACGUGCAGAGGGGGGGGCGGAGGGUGCUUGAGCACCUGCCCCUUUGUCCCUGAUUCUCAAAGUGCCCUUUUGUAGGGUUUAUUAUUAUUUUUAAUUAUUUUUUUUUAUUUUUUUUUUUUUUUGCGUGUGUGUGUGUGUGUAUUUAUGUACUGUUCCAUGUUAACCGUGGCAGGUCACAUGAUAUACUGGAUCAUGUGACCGGCCGCGUCAGCUUCACACAACGUGCCCUCAAGCUAACCUUACUGCCGUGACGUGCCCUGCUGCUGCGGAUAACCACUGCGACUCCCGAUUCCAGAAAAAGUAAACAACUGGUCAGAGAUGCCUCGUAAGGAGAGGAGGUUAAAACAAAAACAAAAGGAGCUGUGUGAGGCUGCAAAAGGCAGUGGAUCACUCACCAGCUGGAUGACAAAGAGCACAAAAGUGUCUGCACUAUCAGAUUAAUACAGCCCAACUCCAGCAACACAGAAGCACCAACCCCCUCAACAGAAGCUGUUCCAUGAGCACCCGCCCCUCCAACGGUCUCUGCACGUCCCUGCUAUCCUGCAUAACACAAAAAACAUCUUUUUAAACUACUACUUUAACCGGGCCUUUAAUAGAACUAGCUUAGAAUCACACUUAUCUGCAUUCUGUCGCCCUCUGUUUUUCUAUUUUAUCUUUUUUUUUUUCGAAAGUAGGAGAGUAAAAGAAAAACAAGAAGAGAAAAAAAGAGAAAGAAGAGGUGAAAGAAAGAAGAGAUAAAAGGUGAAGCUGAGUACAUGGCUUUAGCCGCAACCAUUCAGGAAUGUCUAUAUUUGAUACAGUUACUUAAGAGCAUUGACUGUUAAGAAUAUGUACCAGCUAAGAUUUAUGAAGACAACCAGGGGACCAUAGCAAUAGCCAAAAACCCUGUAAAGAGACAGCGCUGUAAACAUGUUCCUGUAAACAUGUAAACACAUUCCUCCCAUUCCCUUUUCUGG